CCCUCUCUCUUUCUCUCUUCUUCCUUCUUCCCGACGGAAAGGGGAGAAGGGGGUUCGGCCACCGGUGGCCCACGGCCGGCGACGCCCCAUGGUCGUCGGCCUGUGGCGGUGCCGGCGAUGCCACGCCCGGCGACGGCCGGCCGGAACGAGAGAGGAGAAGGCCGAAUAGGGCUCGGCUUCUCCUUCAAUCCGGCGACUUCCCGGCUACAUUCCCAAGGAGGUAAUGGCCAAAGACGAAGGAGAAGAAGGAGAAGAUGCUCACCCUGCCUCCGGCGAGCUCCUUCCGACCGGCUCGACGGCGAAAGCUCCGAUCCUCCCCGCGGCAAGAUAACAUCAGAGCUUUCAGAAAUUUGGAAAUAACGUGCCUAGCCUGCAUGCUCGAGUGAGGUAGGACCUCAGGAUAACUAUCCCACCGUACGCUAGUGCUUCUUCGGGACAUUGCGUACAAAUUGGGUGCUACUUUUCUUGAAAGAUUGUCUGCUUUCUUAUUGUGGAUUAGCUGAAUUCCACUGCUGACUAGUGUCCAGUGCUUAGCCUCUCUACUUCUCAUGCAAGAGUUUUCACUGGUGUCGGACCACACAGAGGUGAGCCAACCAUCCAAUGUCCAGGAGCUACCCAAAGUAAGUUCUUCAGUGCAUAUUUCUGCUCAAUAAUCUCAGACUGUGUGCUACAGUCUUGUGAUUUGUCAGGUUGUUGUUUCUCAGUUGUUGGUUGUAGUAUUUGCAUAUCCUCUGAUGGUGAACUUGUAAUGCUGGAAAUGCAAAUCCACUUGCAAUAGAUGGAUGCUCUUGAGUGGGAUUUUGUUUUCUUUAAUUCUUAUAAUGUCAGAGACAAUAUUUUGAAUUAAGAAUCCAAAAUAUAUUUCGUUUUAAUGGUUUUGAA